UUUCUGAUUUCUCUUAACUUU
ensembl:piRNA 21ur-12741 ncRNA